GGUUACCAGGGUUAGAGCAGCCGUUAGAGGUCCUGCUUAACCAUUGGUGGGAGUCACAGUGGGCCCCAUCCCUAAGCGAGCAGCUGUCGUCAAGCUGCCGUUAGAGAUCCUGUUUAGCCAUUGGUUGGUGCUGCAGUUGGCCCCUCCCCCAAGCGUGCAACUGUCAGUGAGGAACCGUUAGCAGACCCAUCUCACCCAACGGUCCCCAGAGUGGUGGUCAGUGAUCCUUGGUGGCCGUCAGGUGGAGAGUGAGGCUCAGGAAUACCUUGGCCACUUUGGAAAAAUGUUCCCUUGAAGAAAAGUCCCAUGUUCCUGUGGACUUACUCUUUGAUGAGCUACUAUUACAUCUUUCUGCUGUUGUUGAAUGCAUCCCUAUACUGAAUGUCUCUACAAAUAUCAGAGAAGAUGCCAGACAUGGUCAUUUUCUUCCAGCUAAAUCUCUUAUUAGAAAAAUAACUAUUAUAUUUAAUAACUCAUAUCAAGAUAUAUCAAUAAUCCAUUGUGAAGGACUUGCCAAUUGGAACAAAUAUUACCAAAGAAAUGGUAUUAUGUGGAAUGGCCAGCUCUCUGUCAAAUGCCAGCUCUUGCG
rnacentral:lncRNA from 1 species